UACGUAGGGUGCAAGCGUUGUCCGGAAUUAUUGGGCGUAAAGAGCUCGUAGGCGGUCUGUCGCGUCUGCCGUGAAAGUCCGGGGCUCAACUCCGGAUCUGCGGUGGGUACGGGCAGACUAGAGUGAUGUAGGGGAGACUGGAAUUCCUGGUGUAGCGGUGGAAUGCGCAGAUAUCAGGAGGAACACCGGUGGCGAAGGCGGGUCUCUGGGCCAUUACUGACGCUGAGGAGCGAAAGCGUGGGGAGCGAACAGG
rnacentral:rRNA from 1 species